ensembl:lncRNA
AGCAGCCUCAGGUCACCUCCCGCUCCAACCCAGACCGCUCCAUUUCACACUUCUAUCCAGUGCACUUUGAAAUCUCACAAUUGAAACAAAUGACUCUCUGUCCCCCACAACACCGCCACCCCGUCCCUCUCCUCUGCUGGAUCCCAACCAGUCUGGGUACAGAAGUGUAGGCAUGCCACACUCUUCCUAAAGGGCCAUAAACCACAAUGGGUUUACGGACCCGUUACGUCCUUGCGGACCCUCCUUGCGUCCACCGCAACGGCACGACGUGCGCCUCCCAAAAAUGUGUCGCCAUUCGUCGAGGCGAAGAAGCAGCAAGGGCUGUGAUUGGUCGUCUCACUGAAACCCGACGCAGAACCAAAACAGGUUCACGAUUGCGUCGAAGCGACUGUGUGGUUCUUGCGUUGCGCCGACGUGGAACCAUAAUCAGCCCCCCUAACUCUCUGGAUCCCGCCACCCUGCUCUCAGCCCGAAGCCGCUGGUCAUUCAUCAGCCGUCCGGACCCAUCAGCCUCCCUCAUCAGCAUUCCGCAGCCCGGGAAGAGGUCUCCCAGAGGGCCUUUGAAUCUUGACGGGGGAGCUCCGACCUCUGACCUCCGCCCUCCGAACUCCGACCCCUUCAGCCCCUAGCCCUCCGGGUGACUCUAUCACGGCGGUACCAGCAUCACUCGGAAUCGCGCCUGUUAAAGCUGUUGAGGGGAUGACGAACGAUCCGUUAUCCCUGGCUCGACACCUUCCUCCGGUCUUCCGGUCAUGCAGAUGGCCGUCGUAUGGAGAGGGGGGAUCAGAUGGCACUCUGAACAAACAUUUUGUCCGGCGUCUUGUCCUGUCAUCACGGGGUUUGCGGCGGUUGCGAUGCUUUUUGUAACACGGUUGUUAUGAGCGCCAGAUGCACCCCAGAAGGAGGACACACACGAUGCAGGAGAUGAAUAUGCCCGCUUGACGAGGAUGAAUUUACCAAAUGGUAUCGCUUUGGUACCGUGUGGUGUGGAUGAGUUUAAAUCCAUCCCUUGCAAUCUCUUUGGUAAAUAGGGAAAAUCUUGAGAAGUGAUCAACUAAUUUUCUGCUUCUAUAUAUUAGUAUCACACAUUUAAAUAAGUGAGUUGUAAUACCCUAUGUGAGGUAUAGGAUAAAAUCGAAAUGAGU